UUUUCUACAAAUCGGAAUGACCUGAAAUUUGGAGCGUGUGUUCAUCACAAAUAAGGGAAUCUACUAAAAAUGUCAAAAAAAUAUUUUACAUGAAAAAGAUUGACCAAAAUACCCCCGAAAAGUUUUAGGGGUAUUUUGGUCAAUUUUGUUUACGAAUUAUGUUUUUCAUAUUUUUAUUUCGUGCGCCUCACUAAGAUGUACAUACACUCCAAAUUUCAGAUAAUUCCGAUUUGUAGAAAA
rnacentral:pre_miRNA from 1 species